rnacentral:lncRNA from 1 species
UGGUUUUUAAUGAAUCUUCCCAUGAGUUCUUGCAAGGGAAUCAGUCGCAGUCUCCAAAUGGGCCUAUGGUAGAUUAUGCACCACCUCAUUCAGAUUCCCCCAUGAAAGAUGGAAAAGACUUUUAUAACAAUCACAAACCACACAGGCCUCCGCCAUUAAGGCCGAGUGAUCUACUGCCUCCACACCCUAAUUUUCAACCUGGGAAUUUGUCUUCAUCAAAUUCUCAGAACCAUGAUUUUUAUGCAAUUCCAAAUGGACCUAGUGGUCCACCGUUUACUUCACCACAAACCUGGACUACUGGGCCAACCUUCCCAUCAGUUCCUC